rnacentral:sRNA from 1 species
UCUGAUAGGAAAGGGGUAGGUAGGUAGUUCCCUGUCUGGCCAAUACAUAUAUGUACUAUUUUUGUUUCUAAAAAGAAAGUCCGUAAACCUUCUGCUUCUUUAACGAUCAAUCAAUCUACAAUGCACAAAUUAUGUCAUCAGCAUCGGUAGGUUAGUUGGAAAAAUAAAGCGGUUUACUUUUCGAAAUUGUUGAACCUACUUUGUGAAGCAGCACGAUACAUGUUACAGUUCUCUUGGCGAUAUAUUGAAGACCUGUUGAUAAAAAGACCUGUUGAUACGCCGUAAAUAUUUCAAUUCGGCAUAUGUCAACUGCCUACAUUUUGACAACAAAAGUGUAUUUUUCGAUUGAAUCUAGAAGUCCUUACAAUUGUGCGUUGGGCAAGAUGUCGCAUAAAAAGCCCCAUAAAUUUCCGUGAUUCUUCAAGUACUCAAAUUUUCCCUUGAAGAAUCAAUUCGGAAUUGAUCUUUCGCUACGCAGAUUGCAGACAUAUUUUGGUUAUUGGUUAAGAUAAAGAAUGACUUGCUAUCUUACCCAAACGUACUUUCGCCAAGUAACAAAAUAUCCAUGACACAUGCCACAUGCCACAUGCCACCGAGCUAAACCCAAGCAAUUUCAAAAUCUUAAAAAUAAUUCAUUUUUGAAGCUAAUAACCCUCCUUGGAAAUUUGGUGCCCACCCACCUUGGCGCUUGUCCCGCGAUCACAUUGAGAGACCUUGCCUUGGCUUGGAUGUCCGAGAAGAACUAGCACAAUUCCGAAUACAGAAUAUAUCCAGAAUUGAGUAUACACAUGUAUUCAACAAUAGAUAUUGAAUGUAUUGUUUAAAUGGUUUAAAUGAUAUUACGGUACAGAGAUGUACUAGGCUAUGGGCUCUGAUAUUUGCGCUACAAACUUCUCCUCAGCUUUAUUAUAUCUCCUGCAAGGGUAAAAAAGCUUUAUGCCAAAACCAAUACAAUAUGCAGAUUUUUAAUCCCUCUACUUUCAGAGCUAUUAAAGAAAGCUAUUAAAAUCGUUGUUUCGGAUUCAUGUAUGGAAAUGUCCAUGGAAGGAUUCAGCGAGACCAGAAAACUCAAAGUCGAAUACUUUUGUCCCAAUAUUGUUUAAUAAAUCUGGUGGAACAAAACCAAUUCUGUCAAUAGACACAUCAUUUCACUGACUUCUAUGUUAAAACUAUUCAAAUCACCUAAAGUUAAAUUUGUCGGUAUUUUUCAGUAGUUUAUAGUUAUAUUAUAAGUGAUAACAGUGAAGGAAAACAUGACUAUAAAAUUACCGAAAAAGUUAACUUUCGCCUUUUGUGUAAAAGUUAAAAAAGUUGAAGUCAAAAAGGUUACAUCACAGUUAAUGAAAUUAUAUGCCAAUUCGUGAAGUUUUCAAUAAAUUUGGAUGAUAAUAUCGGGGCAAAAGUA